rnacentral:lncRNA from 10 species
CAAGGCUUGCCUGGGGAGGAUUCGCUUCUAAGAACACUCAUGUGUUUGUUGGCAGGCUUCCAAUCCUUGUGGGUUGUUGGAGUGAGUUUCAGCUCCUCAUAAGCUGUAAACCACCCUUGGUUUCUUGCCACGUGGGCAUCUCCAUCGGGCAACUCACAACAUGGCAGCAAGCAAGCAAGAGGGUAAGAGAGACUGCCAGCAACAGAGACAGAAAGCCAGCGAGAUGCAGGAAAUACAUCUCACUCUGAGAUGAAUAUGGAUGGUUACAAUAAAAAUUAAGUGCAUGUACGGUAAAUGGGCAUUGUUGGAUAAAUGCAGUGAUGGAAGAAAAUAAGAUGGUGGUCAUGCCAUUUCUACCUGACUUCCUUUUCUCCAACUUGAUGAUACUCUACCUUCAGAAACAGGAACCUUUGUUCUUAAACAGAGGAAGUUGUAAACUCUCCAAUAGCAAAUUUUAUUAACUCAUAGGCAAUACUAUAAAUGAUGGUACUCUAUUGAGUCAAUGCCUUCAACAUGAAUCAGGAGAUUAACUUUUGCUGCAAACUGUCAAUCUUUACUCCCAAAUUAUG